AACGCACCUUGCGCCCUUUGGUAUUCCGAAGGGCAUGCCCGUUCGAGUGUCUUGACAUCAUCAUCUCCUCCAAGUUUUGCUGGGUUAGGAAGGUGGACUUGGAGGACUUUUGCUGCUGCACAAGAGGCUCCUCUUGAAUGCAUCGGCUGUGCUCGAAAGGGUGCUCCUUGACGUUGUAAUCUUCCUCGUCUCGGGCUUCUUUCUGACCGGCCUUGGCUCUUGCCUCUGGAGUGGCGGCCAACUUUUUACUUUGACAUCUGACCUCGAAUCGGGUAGGACUACCCGCUGAACUUAA
rnacentral:misc_RNA from 1 species